rnacentral:sRNA from 1 species
AUGUACCCACGUACAUUCCGGUUCCUCCGCGCCGUCCGCACCCACCUGACGACUGCUUGCUACGUUUUGUUAGCC